rnacentral:rRNA from 1 species
GAUCCUGGCUCAGGACGAACGCUGGCGGCGUGCUUAACACAUGCAAGUCGAACGAAGAGCGAUGGAAGCUUGCUUCUAUCAAUCUUAGUGGCGAACGGGUGAGUAACGCGUAAUCAACCUGCCCUUCAGAGGGGGACGAACAGUUGGAACGACUGCUAAUACCGCAUACGAUCCAAUCCCGGCAUCGGGACUGGAUGAAAGGUGGCCUCUAUUUAUAAGCUAUCACUGAAGGAGGGGA